GCUUGCAUCAUGAUUUACAUUUGAGUGAGUGGCGAACUGGUGAGUAACACGUGGGAAACCUGCCCAGAAGCGGGGGAUAACACCUGGAAACAGAUGCUAAUACCGCAUAACAACUUGGACCGCAUGGUCCGAGUUGAAAGAUGGCUUCGGCUAUCACUUUUGGAUGGUCCCGCGGCGUAUUAGCUAGAUGGUGGGUAACGGCUCACCAUGGCAAUGAUACGUAGCCGACCUGAGAGGGUAAUCGGCCACAUUGGGACUGAGACACGGCCCAAACUCCUACGGGAGGCAGCAGUAGGGAAUCUUCCACAAUGGACGAAAGUCUGAUGGAGCAACGCCGCGUGAGUGAAGAAGGGUUUCGGCUCGUAAAACUCUGUUGUUAAAGAAGAACAUAUCUGAGAGUAACUGUUCAGGUAUUGACGGUAUUUAACCAGAAAGCCACGGCUAACUACGUGCCAGCAGCCGCGGUAAUACGUAGGUGGCAAGCGUUGUCCGGAUUUAUUGGGCGUAAAGCGAGCGCAGGCGGUUUUUUAAGUCUGAUGUGAACGCCUU
rnacentral:rRNA from 1 species